rnacentral:lncRNA from 1 species
AACGUAUCCACAACACCGCACACAGACCCGAUAUUUACAUGUGGGCGUACACAGAGCAGAGGCGGAGAGCCUUGAAGAUGGCCUUUUCUACAGUCAAACGGAAACUCCGGAGUCCGGCCGCGAGCAUUCGUCAUACGCGAUGGCUGAUGUGAUGACACAUCGUACGCUCGCCAGUCGAGCCCUACAACUUGCGAGUCGACGAAAAUGGCUGCCGAUCAAUGAUUCUUCUUUUCGUCAUUUUACAGCGAACCGCAGUUGCUGCGCGUGUUCACCAACGCCCCGCCUUGGAGUUGCCCGAAAUAGCGCGAAAUCGCGCAAGGCCGUUCGGCCAUUACGCGUUGUUUAUCAAACAAAAAGCCUGCAGCUAUUAUGCCUGUACUUAUUCAUUCGCCCGUGUGAUCAGUUCAUCCUCAUCGGUGUGAUGUGAUCCAUAAGCUAUAUAUAUAUAUAUAUAUAUAUAUAUAUAUAUAUAUAUAGUGUAUACACACUGCAGCAUGCUUCGCGAACUUAGAUCGUUUGACUGCAGAGGCGCGCUUUUCAGCGCGGGAUUUCAAGUAAAAGAUUUACUUACUCAUUCUAGCGAUGAUAAAAAAACUAGUUUGUCCGUAUGCGCUAAUACGACUCGUGACUCACUCUCUCGACAUCAACUCAUGUGUAUCAAUAAAUUAUUAAUUUAAUCCAUCUGCACAGGAUGAAAAACUACAGCAUCAUAAUAUUAGUUAUAUUUCAAACAUUUUAAGUGCAUUACUUCACCAGAUGAGAGAAAACUGCAAUUUUACUAUUUCUGAAGACAAUAAUAUUAAAUGGGCGCCGCAAACGUUGUAAGCUGGUUUUAAAUAUAGCGUAGAAGACUAUAGUCUACGUAUAACGAACCGGAAACGAUUGCAAGCAUCCAACUCAGAAAAGCCAUAUUUCACAGACGUUUCGACAAUCUCCUCGAAAUUAUUUCAAUAUAGAGCAAACAUCUUUUGAGAACUGAUGGCAACAGGGACACUCGAAAGUCGAAUUCACCUGAUGUAUGUACGCUUACAAUAAGUGCGCUCGCUAUCUCACAACGUGUGCCUGCGACCCUUAUCAAAAGCGGCGCGUGCAGAAGUUUUCACCAGUAUUAUGAAUACUGAAGCCUGUAUGAGUAUAUAAUAAGAUUUUGGUCAACGGCGUUUCCCAACGAAAACAUAAUUAAAGAUUUCGUGGAAGUAUGCGAGGAACUCGCCUUCAUUUACGGCGGCGGCGACCGAUAGUUAAAAAGAGAUUAUGCGCGGGUUUCACCCGAACAAACCUGUGUAACAAAUGAAUAAUCUCGAGCGUCCUUUGUUGUCGUCGAAAGAAAAGAGGAAUCGAGAGAUUAGAUAAUCUUGGAAGUAGCAGAAACAAAGAUAUCAAAGCGUCUGGGUAUUUAUAGGUGUACUUGUCAGUUGCGUAGGUGCAUUGCAAGUAAGCGAUUUAUGCGCGCUGCAGAGCUUUGGACCUUUAUUCGGCACGUUAUCGUUAAAAUCGCCGAUUUGACAAGCUGCUGGCUUAUUUGCAGUGGCUUGUAGAAUGCGCUCGUGAGUCAGCCGGAAGGAGAAAACAACUCGCGAUUUCAGUGGCGAUGAGAAAUAAAUGGCACAGAGCGCGGGGAUAAGGAAAAGGAGCGAGCG